rnacentral:rRNA from 1 species
CUACGGGAGGCAGCAGUGGGGAAUAUUGGACAAUGGGCGAAAGCCUGAUCCAGCCAUGCCGCGUGAGUGAAGAAGGCCCUAGGGUUGUAAAGCUCUUUCGCACGCGACGAUGAUGACGGUAGCGUGAGAAGAAGCCCCGGCUAACUUCGUGCCAGCAGCCGCGGUAAUACGAAGGGGGCAAGCGUUGUUCGGAUUUACUGGGCGUAAAGGGCGCGUAGGCGGAUGCGCAAGUCAGAGGUGAAAGCCCUGGGCUCAACCCGGGAAUUGCCUUUGAAACUGCACGUCUUGAGUGCGGGAGAGGGUGGCGGAAUACCCAGUGUAGAGGUGAAAUUCGUAGAUAUUGGGUAGAACACCGGUGGCGAAGGCGGCCACCUGGCCCGCAACUGACGCUGAGGCGCGAAAGCGUGGGGAGCAAACAGGAUUAGAAACCCGGGUAGUCC